rnacentral:rRNA from 1 species
GUGGGGAAUAUUGGACAAUGGGCGAAAGCCUGAUCCAGCCAUGCCGCGUGUGUGAAGAAGGUCUUCGGAUUGUAAAGCACUUUAAGUUGGGAGGAAGGGCAGUAAGUUAAUACCUUGCUGUUUUGACGUUACCGACAGAAUAAGCACCGGCUAACUCUGUGCCAGCAGCCGCGGUAAUACAGAGGGUGCAAGCGUUAAUCGGAAUUACUGGGCGUAAAGCGCGCGUAGGUGGUUCGUUAAGUUGGAUGUGAAAGCCCCGGGCUCAACCUGGGAACUGCAUCAAAAACUGGCGAGCUAGAGUACGGUAGAGGGUGGUGGAAUUUCCUGUGUAGCGGUGAAAUGCGUAGAUAUAGGAAGGAACACCAGUGGCGAAGGCGACCACCUGGACUGAUACUGACACUGAGGUGCGAAAGCGUGGGGAGCAAACAGGAUUAGAAACCCCAGUAGUCC